CAGGUGUUGUUGCGGAUGAAGUCCCGCUGGGAGGCCUCCAGCUCGGCCCGCAGCUCCACCUCGUAGGGCAGCUCGAUGGCGGAGAAGACCCCGGCGCCAAUGAGCAGGUAGACGAGGUCAGUCUGUGGUUGGGCCAGCCGUCCAGAUCGCCGUCUUCGCCACAGAGAAAACCGUCGCCGGCAAAGCCGACCGCGCACACACACUUGUACAGGACCUCCGACGCCAAGCCCAGUGAGUGCCGUUGCCGUGGGAACCCAGCGGACACUGCCCGCAUUGCCAGGAGCCGUCACUUCGCGAGGAGCACGCCACGCCGGGGAAGCACGGAGUCGACAGCAAACACGGACGUGUCCCAAAGCAAAGUAGGAUGACAUACGAGCCCUGGUGCACUCCACCAGAGGGGAGCUACAAUACUACUAUACUAUCUUCUAGAAGGUUCCCGGUGAUGAGACGCAUGUCGUGGAUCUCGGCGAACAUCUGCACCGCGUCUUCACACGGGUGACGACACACUGCUGAUGUCACGUUGGCGAGCCCUGCGCCGCACACACCUGCACAGGAGGAGAGUGUGUGUGUGUAUC